rnacentral:rRNA from 1 species
GACGAACGCUGGCGGCGUGCUUAACACAUGCAAGUCGAGCGGUAAGGCCCUUUCGGGGGUACACGAGCGGCGAACGGGUGAGUAACACGUGGGUGACCUGCCCUCAGCUCUGGGAUAAGCCUGGGAAACCGGGUCUAAUACCGGAUAUGACUCCAUGACGCAUGUUGUGGGGUGGAAAGCCUUGUGCGGCUGAGGAUGGGCCCGCGGCCUAUCAGCUUGUUGGUGGGGUGAUGGCCUACCAAGGCGACGACGGGUAGCCGGCCUGAGAGGGCGACCGGCCACACUGGGACUGAGACACGGCCCAGACUCCUACGGGAGGCAGCGAGUGGGGAAUCUUGCGCAAUGGGCGAAAGCCUGACGCAGCGACGCCGCGUGAGGGAUGACGGCCU